AUUUAAAUAGUUUAAUUAAAACAUUACAUUUUCAAAGUAAAAAUAAAAUUAUAUUUUUCUAAAUA
rnacentral:tRNA from 1 species